AAAAGAUCAACGUCACAUACGUUGAAAAGUGUGCAAUAUUAAACAUAUCAAUUUGACAUUUUGUUUUCUCAUAAAAAUUUAAGUUUCCUUAAUCAAAAAUAAAGAUCAUGUGAUUAUCAUGUGACCAAUUAACAUGACAUUUCCUUGUAAAACUAAUUAUAAAUAAAGCAUUCCUAUAAAUAAAGCAUUCCUAUCGGAAUCCUGAUGUACAUAUUAUCCUGAUGUACAUAUUACUGAUGAAAUGCAGAUUCAUAGGUAAUCAUGGUCUAUACAAACAACAAGCUAUCCCUGCUUGCACUCUGUUUUGCGCAGCAGGAAAAUAGUUCUCUACUAUCUAAUAGUCUUGCAGCCUACAACAAAUGCUUUCAGGGUUUUACUCGAUCAACUAGCUACCGUCAACUUAAUUAAUAAAUUAACCCUUUCCCUGCUUUAAGUGAAUAUUUGCAUAUUUUGUUUAAAAAAUUUAUAACUCAUUAACCGUAUAUGUGACAUGUACAGGCUCUGGGAAAAAGGCGAGCUAGAGACCAAAAACGGCAGUAUAGGCAUGCAGUGUCAAAAUCAUUUUUAUUGCACAAAUCAUUAGUUUAAAGCCUUGAAUGUGUAUUAACAUCGCAGGCGAGUGGUCUAAAGUCAGCCACUUUCACAAGUCUUCUUGUCUUUGCGUUUACGGAAUUGAACCUUACGUGACGUCACACGUUGAGGGUUUUCCCAUGCGCAGACGGUUUGCGCAACAAGCAGCUGCAUACAAUACUUGCAUUUAUAAAUGGAUUCAGCUAAUUCAAGCAGUGCUUCUGAGACGGCUAAAGCUAUUAAUGAUAUCCUGAAGUCGAUGAGAUGGAUACGGAUGGCACAUAGAUACGGAUGGCACAGGAGGGCUAGGUCCAGGUACGGAGGAGAAUAGCAACAGUCUUUCACUGCAAGAUGAUGAAUGUGAGAACGAUGGGGAGAUGGAAGCCGACACAGAUGAGGUUGAAGAAGUGCUUGCACGAAUCUCCACUCACCGAACCCUGUGAGACUCUCUCUACCAGGUCCCUCUGUCCCAGGUCCAAUGGAAAUCGCUGCAAAAGAGAAAAAGGAAGUUACGAAAUUCGUUCGUAAAACCUGCGGAUGUACACGUAGCAAUGGUGGCCCCUGCUCUAAACUAUUUACAACUACAAACAUCAAAAAGA